AGUUAACAGAGAUAUGGCAUGAGCAUAUAUUGGAAAAAUGAUUCACAUACAAUAGAAAAAUUAAGUAAGACCAGGAUUGGGUGGCUUUGAUGAAUGUAAUUUUGAUUGAACAUGAAGAUGCUUGUAGAACAGUGUUGCUUCCUCUGAACAUGGCUAUAGAAGAACAAAUCAGUCUGAAGAUGAAAACAAGAAGCUGAUCGAAGACACAUUCUGAACUGGCUAACACAACACUCUGAAACUGGAGGAUAUCAACUGAUAAGGUAUUAAGUUCCUCCUCAGUUUCAAAUACACUGGGCUUAUAAAUUAUUAACAUAAAAAAUGGAUGCCCCAUCAAAUUACCAUGAAGACAGCUAGAUGUGUUCCCCUCCACAAGUGCCGACCCCUUCAAGCACAUCUUUCACCGGGAACU